ACGAACGCUGGCGGCGUGCCUAAUACAUGCAAGUCGAGCGGACUGAUUAAGAGCUUGCUCUUAUGACGUUAGCGGCGGACGGGUGAGUAACACGUGGGCAACCUGCCCUGUAGAUCGGGAUAACACCGAGAAAUCGGUGCUAAUACCGGGUAAUAUCUGAGAUCACAUGAUCUUAGGUUAAAAGAUGGCUCCGGCUAUCACUACAGGAUGGGCCCGCGGCGCAUUAGCUAGUUGGUAAGGUAAUGGCUUACCAAGGCGACGAUGCGUAGCCGACCUGAGAGGGUGAUCGGCCACACUGGGACUGAGACACGGCCCAGACUCCUACGGGAGGCAGCAGUAGGGAAUCUUCCGCAAUGAACGAAAGUCUGACGGAGCAACGCCGCGUGAGUGAUGAAGGGUUUCGGCUCGUAAAGCUCUGUUGUUAGGGAAGAAACAGUACCGAACGAACUAGGUCGGUACCUUGAUGGUACCUAACCAGAAAGCCACGGCUAACUACGUG
rnacentral:rRNA from 1 species